AUUGCAAACUGGUCUGUCGCUCUGAGCAAUCAGGGAGGAAAGUCCGGGCAACAUAGAGCAUCCUGCUUCCUAACAGGAAGGACCCGAAUACUCGGGGACAGCAAGUGCCACAGAAAAUAAACCGCCUAAUCCUGAUAGUUAUCAGGAUUAGGUAAGGGUGAAAACGUGAGGUAAGAGCUCACGGCUUUGUCGCGUAAUCGGCAUCGCGGUAAACCUCAGGAGUUGAAAAACCAAAUAAACCGGAGCUAUAGGGCUGCUCGCCUAAUCCGGAGGGUAGGUUGAUAGAGGUGAAUGGUGACAUUCAUCCCAGAGAAAUGACAGAUAGUCCCUAAACUUGUUUCGGGAGGAAACAGAACCCGGCUUACACGUUUGCAUUUUUU
rnacentral:RNase_P_RNA from 1 species